CUCCUCUGUGCUCUCCCCGAUCCCUAGCAGUCAUCACUGUACUCUCAACUUCUAUAAGAUCAACUUUUUUAUAUUCCAAUCUUAAGAUACAGACAACUGAGUUCAAGGACCUUUUCUCUUCUAUCUAGCAGGGGGAAACUGCCUCUGCUUUCUUAGCUCCAAUCAUCUUAUACCUUGGAAGCAACAGGACCUUGGAGAUCAUCCAGGUUAUUCUCCACUGUCACCGAGCCGGAAAGCCCCACAAAUUGGCUGCUUCCAUGGCGCAGUUGCAGUAGACCUCGCCAGCGCAAAAGUGCUGGCGUCAUUCGUGAUGGGAGUAUUUGCCUGUCAAGUCCUUAAGCCUCUUGACAAAAUGCUCCCCAGAAGAGGAUGCUGCAGGUGGGGUCAGCAUGAGAAAACAGCAGAAUCAGGUCAUCUGAGAACAAGAGAGUGCCGAAUACCAAAUAGAUAUGAAGACAGCUGAAAGGCUUCACACCAGAGGCGUCUUCUGCAGGAAUUUUUCAAGGAUAUUCGAGGAAGGGCUAUAGUUCCACAAGCGAGUUGACAAAAACUGUGGCACAGGGACAGCAUGCACAGGCGGGAGGAGACCCACGCACAGAUGCAGGUGGAGCUUGGAGUAACGUCCAAUCCACAAAGCAUUCACUGAGCGCCCAGUAGGCGCCCAACACUCUUCUAGGGCACGACGGCAAUGCUUAGAGGAGACUAGGUACCCGGGGAAGUCACAGUCUUGUGCAGUGACAGACCAUAAAGAAAGGAACAAAUAAACAGAAGAAAAAGCACUGCGGAGAACACGAUGGUGGCUGGUGGGUCUAUUGGGAACGGAUGGUCCCGGGGCAGAGGUCAGAGCGAAGCCCUCUAGGGCCAGGAGUCUACAGUGCCCAGCGCGGGGCUGGCUAGCCAGACCUGAGAGGGAGAGUGACCCAGUACGCCCUAGGGAGUUUAUGGACCAAUCCUGCUAAGUCCCUUCUCCCCACGAUGAUGUAAUGUUACUUCUCAGCAGACAAUACACAGGCACUGAACCCUUCUUUGUGCCUUUCUGUAGGGAUAUAUUCGCUUCUGAGAAGGAUAAAUCAAGGUUGUCGCAGAAGAGCACGUUUAUGGAUUCUGCUUCUGCUGAGUCCCUAAGGUAGAGGCAGUGAACCCCUGGUUUGAAUCACUUGAUCUCUCGCUUCCAGAGGCAGAAGAGCAGAGCUGACUAGCAGGCUCGCAAGCCCCCUAGCUGUCCCGGCGAAAGAUACGCUCCACCCUGCAGCAGAGGACCGCGUCUCCUCCGGGGCUCGGCUGGCGGAUGGCGCUGUCCUUGUCCUGCAGCCGGCCGGAGCGCCGCUGCGGGCGCCAGGAGGUGCUGAGCCCUGGAAGGCAAAGAAGCAGCUCCAUCUAGUGUUCU
rnacentral:lncRNA from 1 species